rnacentral:rRNA from 1 species
GAUGAACGCUGGCGGCGUGCCUAAUACGUGCAAGUCGAGCGAACGGACGAGAAGCUUGCUUCUCUGAUGUUAGCGGCGGACGGGUGAGUAACACGUGGAUAACCUACCUAUAAGACUGGGAUAACUUCGGGAAACCGGAGCUAAUACCGGAUAAUAUUUUGAACCGCAUGGUUCAAAAGUGAAAGACGGUCUUGCUGUCACUUAUAGAUGGAUCCGCGCUGCAUUAGCUAGUUGGUAAGGUAACGGCUUACCAAGGCAACGAUGCAUAGCCGACCUGAGAGGGUGAUCGGCCAAACUGGAACUGGGACACGGUCCAGACUCCUACGGGGGGCAGCAGUAGGGAAUCUUCCGCAAUGGGCGAAAGCCUGACGGAGCAAAGCCGCGGGAGUGAUAAAGGUCUUCGGAUCGGAAAACUCUGUUAUUAGGGAAGAACAUAUGUGUAAGUAACUGUGCACAUCUUGACGGUACCUAAUCAGAAAGCCACGGCUAACUACGUG